GACAGAGGGUGCAAGCGUUGUUCGGAAUCAUUGGGCGUAAAGGGCGCGUAGGCGGUUUGUUAAGUCGGAUGUGAAAGCCCAGGGCUCAACCUUGGAAGUGCAUCCGAAACUGGCGAACUAGAGUCCCGGAGAGGGUGGUGGAAUUCCCAGUGUAGAGGUGAAAUUCGUAGAUAUUGGGAGGAACACCGGUGGCGAAGGCGACCGCCUGGACGGAGACUGACGCUGAGGCGCGAAAGCGUGGGGAGCAAACAGG
rnacentral:rRNA from 1 species